AUUGAACGCUGGCGGCAUGCCUUACACAUGCAAGUCGAACGGUAACGGGCCUUCGGGUGCCGACGAGUGGCGAACGGGUGAGUAAUGUAUCGGAACGUACCUUUCAGUGGGGGAUAACGUAGCGAAAGUUACGCUAAUACCGCAUAUUCUGUGAGCAGGAAAGCAGGGGAUCGCAAGACCUUGCGCUGAUUGAGCGGCCGAUAUCAGAUUAGCUAGUUGGUGAGGUAAAGGCUCACCAAGGCGACGAUCUGUAGCGGGUCUGAGAGGAUGAUCCGCCACACUGGAACUGAGACACGGUCCAGACUCCUACGGGAGGCAGCAGUGGGGAAUUUUGGACAAUGGGGGGCAACCCUGAUCCAGCCAUGCCGCGUGAGUGAAGAAGGCC
rnacentral:rRNA from 1 species